rnacentral:rRNA from 1 species
UACGGGGGGGGCAAGCGUUGUUCGGAAUUACUGGGCGUAAAGGGUUCGUAGGUGGCCAACUAAGUCAUACGUGAAAUCCCUCAGCUUAACUGGGGAACUGCGUCUGAUACUGGUUGGCUUGAGUGCAGGAGAGGAACGCGGAAUUCCAGGUGUAGCGGUGAAAUGCGUAGAUAUCUGGAGGAACACCGGUGGCGAAGGCAGCCCCCUGGGUCAAGAUUGACGCUCAUGCACGAAAGCGUGGGGAGCAACAGG